rnacentral:rRNA from 1 species
UACAGAGGGUGCGAGCGUUAAUCGGAAUUACUGGGCGUAAAGCGCGCGUAGGCGGUUACUUAAGUCGGAUGUGAAAGCCCUCGGCUUAACUGAGGAAGUGCACCCGAAACUGAGUAGCUAGAGUACGAAAGAGGGUCGCGGAAUUCCCGGUGUAGAGGUGAAAUUCGUAGAUAUCGGGAGGAACACCGGUGGCGAAGGCGGCGACCUGGGUCGAGACUGACGCUGAGGCGCGAAAGCGUGGGGAGCAAACAGG